rnacentral:rRNA from 1 species
GCUGGCGGCGUGCCUAAGACAUGCAAGUCGUGCGAGAAAGCACCUUCGGGUGUGAGUACAGCAGCGCACGGGUGAGUAACGCGUGAGCAACCUGCCUUCGGGUCUGGGACAACCUCGGGAAACUGGGGCUAAUACCGGAUGAGACCACGAGCUCUUCGGAGCUUGCGGAAAAAGAUGGCCUCUCCUUGGAAGCUAUCGCCUGGAGAUGGGCCCGCGUCCCAUUAGCUUGUUGGUGAGGUAACGGCUCACCAAGGCGACGAUGGGUAGCUGGUCUGAGAGGACGAUCACCCACACUGGAACUGAGACACGGUCCAGACUCCUACGGGAGGCAGCAGUCGGGAAUUUUGGGCAAUGGGGGAAACCCUGACGCAUCAACGCCGCGUGAGGGAUGAAGGCCUUCGGGUCGUAAACCUGUGUCACGAGGGAACAACGCUCCCAGUGUAAAUAUUGCUCCUACAUUGACGGUGGCUCAAAAUGAAGCACCGGCUGCCUCCAUGCCAGC